rnacentral:rRNA from 1 species
UACGUAGGGAGCAAGCGUUGUCCGGAAUCAUUGGGCGUAAAGCGCGCGUAGGUGGCCACAUAAGUCCGUUGUGAAAGUCAAAGGCUCAACCUUUGAAAGCCGAUGGAUACUGUGUGGCUAGAGUACGGAAGAGGCGAGUGGAAUUCCUGGUGUAGCGGUGAAAUGCGCAGAUAUCAGGAGGAACACCGGUGGCGAAGGCGGGUCUCUGGGCCGAUACUGACGCUGAGGAGCGAAAGCGUGGGGAGCAAACAGG